rnacentral:rRNA from 1 species
CGAUGCCCUGGAGAAACUCUGAGCAGCGACGCCGCGUGGGGGAUGAAGGUCUUCGGAUUGUAAACCCCUUUCGGCAGGGAAGAUGGAACGGGUAACCGUUCGGACGGUACCUGCAGAAGCAGCCACGGCAAACUUCGUGCCAGCAGCCGCGGUAAUACGAAGGUGGCAAGCGUUGUUCGGAUUCACUGGGCGUACAGGGAGCGUAGGCGGUUGGGUAAGCCCUCCGUGAAAUCUCCGGGCCUAACCCGGAAAGUGCAGAGGGGACUGCUCGGCUAGAGGAUGGGAGAGGAGCGCGGAAUUCCCGGUGUAGCGGUGAAAAGCGUAGAGAUCGGGAGGAAGGCCGGUGGCGAAGGCGGCGCUCUGGAACAUUUCUGACGCUGAGGCUCGA